CUCUGCCUCUUUCUCUAUCUUCCUCUACGCUGAUGCUCUCUCCAAGCGGCUCUUACUGUCAGCGACAAGAGCUUCAUCCCCUUUCGUCUUCCUCUUUCUCUUCUUCUGUUACUCGCCUUGCUUCUGAUACAGAGACCAAUUGUUUUCUUACAAGAAAUAUCAAGAACCAAAAGAUAAAUUCCUCAAGCUAACUAUUCCUUGAAAGUUCACUCAUACUCCUUGUUGUCAGAAGCUGAAGAAUAUGAAAGUGGUGCCUUUGAAUCCGACAGCUUCAAAGAUUACCAAAAAGGAAUCCUGGACAAAAAUAUUCAGGACUGGGUACCU